GAGUCCCGGGGCUCCCACUGCUCACAGCCAGAGGCAGAGCCCAGCUGUCCGCAACCCUCUGGGGACUCCACUUUGUUUACUGAAUGGUCAUAUGGUAAUCUCUUCCAACUCACGAACAGGCUGUGCCCGUUACCUCAUCUGCAGUCCAAUGACCUCACCCACCUAAAAUGUAGCAAGUAUGAGUCAGGAACAGAGCCAGCUAGAAUCUCACUGGAGCCCGGGGGGAGCUGGGCAGGCUUCUCAUGGGCUCAGGGAAUCAGCUGUCCAUCUUGUAAUCAUGCCCUAGCCUGGAGCAGCUCCCAGCCAAGUGGUGUGUUCUCUGUGGAGUGGAGCUGAGAGGUGCAAGGGGGGGACUCCCGUGUGCCCACACCUGGAAGUUGCUUAUCUCAGGCAGAGAGCAACAGUGGAGAAUACCCAAGCGUUUCUCCAAAAUCUGGGCUCCAGGCACGUUUUCCCAUAGGCUGACCAAUGCCCUCAUGAGCCAAUUCCUCCCAGCCCGUUCAGAGCCACUUCUGCUUCUGGCAAAUAGUUUCUCAGAGCUCAGCAAGAAGGAAGUGCUGGGACCUGUACAUGGAUCUGCCUCACAGAAGACGAACUCUACCGGGGCUGAGAACCUUUCCUGGGAAGAGAGUUUGUUACAGUUUUUAGAUUCACAAGAUGAGUAGAUUUUGAUUUAAAAAAUUGAGCCACAAGACCACGAGAUUCCAGAUGCUUCAUGUAAAACAAUGCCCCACGGGGAGGGGAAGUGUGGGGUCCUGCUGGAGGCCACCCUUAGAAGGGCUAUAAACAGCAGCUGCUUUUAUUGUGCGUGCCAAGUGCUGCCUAUUAGGAGAGAGCUCCCAACUCCUUGUUUCUCUCUCUUCCACCAGAUGUGACCAAGCAGGAGUUUGUCAGUUUAGGGGGUGGAGGGGUGGAUCCCAGAUGGUGGGAACCAGGAAGUGGGGCGGUACAGGGAGCUUUGGGAAGUCUGUUCGUCUGUAGUCCCCGUGCGCAGCGCUCUGCAGCUGAGGCCAGAGGGGAAAGGGUGCCCGAGAUGUGCGUUCUGCAAACUCAAAUACGGACUGAAAGAGGGCAGGGUGGAUCCCUGCACGGAGAAGUGUCGAUGGAAAACCAAUGGAAGGGGCCCUGCGGAUUCCCCCCCCCCUCCUUCCCGCCUGCCAGACGGAGGACAGGAAGGGAUAAACAAAGGAACCCCACAUUGCUGGGACCCAGCAGGACCCAGGUGAUGCAACAGGAUGAUGUGGGCUGGAAAAGACAGAGGCUUCACCCAGCUAGCAGCACCUGGCCAAGGCUUCAUCAGUUCCCUGUUGGCUGGGCAUAGAUGUCAACCUCAGCCACACCACCUCGAGUUAAUUAAGCAGGGGUGUUUACUUGUUGCCAUUUAAAAAAACCAUGACUUCAGAUACUCUUAAUCUCUCUUCUCUCCAGGUAGAAGACCUUGGAGGCAUAAACAAAACCAGCCUUCUCUACAAGUUGCUCCCUGCUAGGACAGCCCCUAACUGAAUCUGAGGAAGAAGUGUCAAAGCUGUGUCCCACACGGAGAUAGCUCCUGUCUUCAGUGCGUGGGACAGGCCCAAGGGUCCGUCGGGGACAGCUUGUGAUGUUUUUUUCUUGUUCGUUGUGUGGAGGUAGUCUUCUGAGGUGCAGAAGAAUGCGUCCACGCCUGUUUCUGCCACAGCGAUUUCCCGAUUACACAGUAGGGGAAACCCCCACAUAGCUGGAUGGGAAUAAUUCACAAGAAAAUUAUAGCCAGACUAGAGAUUUAUACAGGCCUUCAUGUGAGCCCAGUAGAUGCCAGGGAAGCUCUUUGCUUAAACAUGCAAAGAUGUUCCCUAUGGCAUUAUUUGAGCCUCAGAGAUUUGGAGGGUGUGUGUGUG
rnacentral:sRNA from 1 species